UCCUCGGUCGCGAUUCACCCAGUCCGAGA
rnacentral:sRNA from 1 species